GUGAAAAUGACGAAUCUGCGGAUGCAACAUCUGGAGCACGGGGAGUGGAGUCUGUAAAUAAAUCUAACCACCAAAAACCAGUUAACGUGGAACACCCUGCGUGAAAACGGGGCAGAAACGUGGGGCAGGUCUGUAAAUGUAAAUAUGAAUUGUAACACUUUUCCCAUUUCCAUAAUCUGCUGAUAUGAUAUGAUUGGGCUGUUAAACCUACAGGGGAACUACGAACAUUAUGGUGUUGUACUAUCGAGUUGUCUUGCAUGAAGACCACAGAUAAGCGCCAUAAAUCAAACUCAUGUCAGGUCUAAUGGGUCGAAGUGCGUUUAAGUAUGAACGUUGACAUGUGCUUCAGUCAUCCGCAGUGACAUUAUUAAGUGCAGGUCGUGACAGAGAAGACAAACGUACUUUGGCAACAAAACGUCCAACGACAUUUUCACCCAGAGAAACUCAAGACUUUCAGUCUGCCUUGAAGCAUUCCAAGGGUGUAUAGUAUACCCAGAACAUGGUUGAGACACAUCUCUCGGCUGGCCUGGGAACAACUCAGCGUUUCUCCGGAUAAGCUGAAGAAGGUGGCUGGGGAGGGGGAAGUUUGUGCUCUCUGCUUAGGCUACUGUCCCCACAACUUGACCCUGACUAAGCAGAAGAGGAUGGAUGGACGAACAGAUGGAAAAAUAUUCUCUGCAAACUCCAGAGAAACCCGAGAGAUUGUUGUGUGGAAAAAUCCCAGUAAAUCCCAGUAGGAAAGAUAAAGCCAUAAAGAAUGUCUGAUAUAAAAUAUUACAUGUCACUGUCUGUGACUGUGGGUGUCAUGUUGGUGGGCCUGCUCUACUCCAUCUGUUUAGCCUGUCAGUGGAUUUAUGGUUGGCCUGACAAGCCUGGGUAUAAGAAGUACAUAGAAGCUCUUAAUCCAAGGCGAAUAUAUCGUCUGACCCUCACUACACUGGAUCUUCUCAAAUACCUGCAGUAUUGGAAAGUUUACUUUCAGCUGAAGUCAUGGUAUAACGAUGAGAGGAAUCUAAAGUAUUAUGAAAAGGGCAUCACGUUUGGCCGCAGAGGCAACAAGCUGGACUUAUACCACCCUCCAAAUGUAAGGAAGCUGCCAUCACCGGCGGUAGUAUUUGUCUACGGAGGUGCAUGGGGCACAGGAGAAAGGUCCACUUACUGUUUACUGGGGAGUCGGAUGGCUGAAGAACUGAAAGCAACUGUAAUUUGUCCUGAUUACUGCACAUAUCCAAAGGGGAAUGUUUUAGGGAUGGUCCAAGAUAUCACUGACUGCUUGAUUUGGGCCCACCAGAAUGGAGAGAAAUUCAACUUUGACAAAGAUAACAUUGUAUUAAUUGGGCAUUCAGCAGGUGCACAUUUGUGUACACUCACCACACUGUUUCUUGUUGAUACAAGAGAGGAGCUUUCCAUAGAGCCAGGCAAGCAGCAGGAAGUCUUGCUCUCGAUAAGAGGAAUUAUUGGUCUGAGCGGCGUCUACAACAUCGUGGACCAUUAUGAGCAUGAACAGAAACGAGGAGUUGAACGAGUGUCCCCCAUGCACAAAGCGAUGAAUGGUGUGGAAAACCUUCCAUACUACUCACCAACACACUUACUAAAGAAGCUCAGCCAGGACAAAGUCAACAGAUUGCCUCCAUUCGCUUUGCUCCAUGGGACCAAUGACAUUAUGGUUCCUGCUGAAUCUACCAUAAGAUUCUCUGAGCUUCUCACUUUGCGCUCUGUUAAGAUGUCAUUGAAUGUUCUUCAUGGAGUCGCCCACACUGAGACUGCUGUUGAUCUCAUGGUGUUAAACAGACGCCUCUACCGUCCAAUCUACAGAUACAUCAAAGAAGAGUUUAGAAAAUUUCUGGGUACCUGCUGACUGCAUGUGAUUAGAAAAGUAUUCACACAGCUCCAGUAUGUGCUGAAUUGUACUGUACUGUAAAUUAAAAUCAACCAUUUAAUUAUGAGUUUGACUUGAUUCUCUGAAGCUCUGAUUUUAUAAAACUAAUAUGAUAUUUUUAACAGUACUUUAAUUAUUUUGGAGAGAUGCUCUUUAUAGUGCUGUCAAAUAAGUAAUCACAAAGUGAAAUCAAUUAUAGAACAGUAGGGUUUAUUAGGAAGCUACACACAAUAUUCAAAUCCAGUUACAAAAUACCUAUUAUUGAAUUAAAUAUUACAUUCAAAUGUUAUCUUGUGUUAACAUGUCAUUACUUAUUAUUAUUGCUUCACUUGCAACCAAAAACAUCAUAAAUGUUUUAAGAUCUUCA
ensembl:lncRNA